rnacentral:tRNA from 3 species
CGAGGUGUAGCGCAGUCUGGUUAGCGCAUCUGUUUUGGGUACAGAGGGCCAUAGGUUCGAAUCCUGUCACCUUGA